rnacentral:rRNA from 1 species
CUUCCUACGGGUGGCAGCAGGGGGGAAUAUUCCACAAUGGAGGAAACUAUGAUGCAGUUACGCCGCGAGAGGGAAGAUGGUAUUAGUAUUGUAAACCUCUGUCUUCAAGGAAGAUAAGGCCGGUCCUUGAGGAGGAACCCCGGGUUAAUUAGGUCCCACCAGCCCGGUUAAAACGUAGGUGCCAAGCUUUUUCCGGAAUUAUUGGGGUUAAAGGGAGCGCGGGGGGUUUGUUAAUUUGGAUGUUUAAUCUGGGGCUUCACCCCGUAAUCGCAUUCAAAACUGACAAACUUGAGUAAAGUAGAGGUAGGCGGAAUUUCCGGUGUAGCGGUGGAAUGCGUAGAUAUCGGAAGGAACACCAGUGGCGAAGGCGGC